rnacentral:rRNA from 1 species
UACGUAGGUGGCGAGCGUUGUCCGGAUUUACUGGGCGUAAAGGGAGCGUAGGCGGACUUUUAAGUGAGAUGUGAAAUACUCGGGCUCAACUUGAGUGCUGCAUUUCAAACUGGAAGUCUAGAGUGCAGGAGAGGAGAAUGGAAUUCCUAGUGUAGCGGUGAAAUGCGUAGAGAUUAGGAAGUACACCAGUGGCGAAGGCGAUUCUCUGGACUGUAACUGACGCUGAGGCUCGAAAGCGUGGGGAGCAAACAGG